AUUGAACGCUGGCGGCAGGCCUAACACAUGCAAGUCGAGCGAGCGGCGGACGGGUGAGUAAUGUCUGGGAAACUGCCUGAUGGAGGGGGAUAACUACUGGAAACGGUAGCUAAUACCGCAUACCAUCAGAUGACCCCAUAUGGGAUUAGCUUGUAGGGGGGGUAAUGGCUCACCGAGGCGACGAUCCCUAGCUGGUCUGAGAGGAUGACCAGUCACACUGGAACUGAGACACGGGCAAGAAUCCGACGGGAGGCAGCAGGGGGGAAUAUUGCACAAUGGGCGCAAGCCUGAUGCAGCCAUGCCGCGUGUAUGAAGAAGGCCUUCGGGUUGUAAAGCACGUUCAGUCGGGAGGCGUUACUGACAGAAGAAGCACCGGCUAACUCCGUGCCAGCAGCCGCGGUAAUAC
rnacentral:rRNA from 1 species